ACAAACUUGGUCAUUUAGAGGAAGUAAAAGUCGUAACAAGGUUUCCGUAGGUGAACCUGCGGAAGGAUCAUUAGUGAAAGCUUUGGGGAUACUGUUGCUGGUCUCUAACGAGGCAUGUGCACGUAUCUCUAAUCCAUUCAUCCACCUGUGCACCUUUUGUAGAAGUUCAUUCAGGAUUGGCUUGCAAGUGUCUAAUGGACCUUGUAUAGUUGGUUUCUGAAAGGGCUUUUAUGUUUUUACAAACUAGUUCAGUAUGUCUAGAAUGUUUGUUUCUAGGGACUUGAUUGACCCUUUUAAACUUGUACAACUUUCAGCAACGGAUCUCUUGGCUCUCCCAUCGAUGAAGAACGCAGC
rnacentral:misc_RNA from 1 species